rnacentral:rRNA from 1 species
UCAGAUCAAGUAGACAUCAUUUCUUACAUAACUGAAGAGAACAAAAGGAGGAGGAAAAGGAUAAUCUUGAUGGAACUUUACCUUGAAUCGGUUCUUCUUGGAAUGGCAUACCUUAUUUCACAGAGAGCACCUCGUGGAAUAGGUAGUUUUAGUGAUGGUGAGCACAAAUACACACUUAGGCAGUACUUGUUGAAAGAUAUGUAUGAUGGCUCAGAAGUGGCAUGCUAUGAUCAGCUACAUUUAACCAAAAGAAACUUUCGUGAUUUAUGCACCAUGCCGCGUGAGAGGUGUGGUCUAAGCGGUAGUGUGUAUGUGAUGGAAGAAAAGGUUGCCAUGUUCUUGCUAGUAGUGAGUCACGGUCUGAAAAUGAGGUUGCUUAGAGGCACAUACAAGCGGUCUUUGGGAACUAUAAGUACUCACUUUUAUGCAGUCUUCAGAGCCAUUCUGUCUAUGCAUGGGGAGUUCAUUAAGCUUCCAGACGCUAAUGUUCAAUCUCCCAAUGAUUACAAAUGGAAGUGGUUUGGUGAUGCACUUGGAGCACUAGAUGGUUGUCAUGUAGAUGUUUCAGUUCCUGUGGCUAUCCAAGGGGGUACAUGA